rnacentral:rRNA from 1 species
UAGGGAAUCUUCCACAAUGGACGCAAGUCUGAUGGAGCAACGCCGCGUGAGUGAAGAAGGUUUUCGGAUCGUAAAGCUCUGUUGUUGGUGAAGAAGGAUAGAGGCAGUAACUGGUCCUUAUUUGACGGUAAUCAACCAGAAAGUCACGGCUAACUACGUGCCAGCAGCCGCGGUAAUACGUAGGUGGCAAGCGUUGUCCGGAUUUAUUGGGCGUAAAGCGAGCGCAGGCGGAAUGAUAAGUCUGAUGUGAAAGCCCACGGCUCAACCGUGGAACUGCAUCGGAAACUGUCAUUCUUGAGUGCAGAAGAGGAGAGUGGAACUCCAUGUGUAGCGGUGGAAUGCGUAGAUAUAUGGAAGAACACCAGUGGCGAAGGCGGCUCUCUGGUCUGCAACUGACGCUGAGGCUCGAAAGCAUGGGUAGCGAACAGGAUUAGAUACCCUGGUAGUCCAUGCCGUAAACGAUGAGCGCUAGGUGUUGGGGACUUUCCGGUCCUCAGUGCCGCAGCAAACGCAUUAAGCGCUCCGCCUGGGGAGUACGACCGCAAGGUUGAAAC